rnacentral:rRNA from 1 species
GAACGCUGGCGGCGUGCUUAACACAUGCAAGUCGAACGAUGAAGCUGGAGCUUGCUCUGGUGGAUUAGUGGCGAACGGGUGAGUAACACGUGAGUAACCUGCCCUUGACUCUGGGAUAACUGCUAGAAAUGGUAGCUAAUACCGGAUACGACCCUCGGAGGCAUCUCCAGGGGGUGGAAAGAAUUUUGGUCAAGGAUGGACUCGCGGCCUAUCAGCUAGUUGGUGAGGUAAUGGCUCACCAAGGCGACGACGGGUAGCCGGCCUGAGAGGGUGACCGGCCACACUGGGACUGAGACACGGCCCAGACUCCUACUGGAGGCAGCAGUGGGGAAUAUUGCACAAUGGGCGAAAGCCUGAUGCAGCAACGCCGCGUGAGGGACGAAGGC